rnacentral:rRNA from 1 species
AUGAAAAGUUAUAUUAAAAAAGAAAGCCCCGUCCGAUCUCGGAAGCUAAGCAGGGUUGGGCCUGGUUAGUACUUGGAUGGGAGACCACGUAGGAAGACCAGGUGCUGUAGGCG